rnacentral:lncRNA from 1 species
UGCUCUCCAGCAAUGCCUCCCCCUGGAACUGCUCUUUCCAAGUCCUCCCACUCCUUGGCAUCUUUCUCCUUUUAUUUUUUUUUCUUUGCAAAACAAGAAUGAACAUUUCCCUUUUGAUGGACCACAACAGAAACACCAGACCAUCAGACACACUAUUUUUUUUUAUAACAAUACGUCUCAGCAAGUGCAGCUGUUCUUCGAAUUGAUAUCCUCAGGUCCCUCCCUCCCUCCGUCCCUUCCUCCUUCUCCUUACCUCUUAGGAAGUUCUUGGAAAGCUGUGGACAUAUUGAAGUCAGUACAGAGCCUGCUGCACACGCAUGGCAAUCUCAGUUUGAAUGCUCAGCACCAACACGUAAAGCCUGUUGUGGGCCUCUUCUGCUAUCUCAGCGACGCAAUGGUUGAGAAAAAAAAAUCCUGGACGCUUACUGGCCAGUUGGAAUAUCUGCACUGGCGACCUCCAGGCUGCCAAACACUUCUACCUGGGAAGACGGACACAGCUGGAAUGUCACUCCAUUGGCAUUUGCCCUCCUGGGUCCUCACACAACAUGAAGAGUCUGCCAAUGCAGCUGUUGAAAUAUCUGGCUUGGGAAACUCAAGUUCCGUCCUGUCCACAGCCUUCUUUGAUGCCACUGCAUGUGGACGCUUGAGCAACAGAAGCACCUAUCACACAUGUGCAUACCUGGGAUAGAGUCAGGAGGAUGCACUCCAGGGCCAAGGGGCCAGUCAUGGCCAUUUGAAGUACAAUCUUUCU